CCUACGGGAGGCAGCCGUAGGGAAUCUUCCACAAUGGACGAAAGCCUGAUGGAGCAACGCCGCGUGGAUGAAGAAUGUCUUCGGAUCGUAAAACCCUGUUUUUAGAGAAGAAAAUGCGUGAUAGUAACUGUUCACGUUUCGACGGUAUCUAACCAGACAGCCACGGCUAACUACGUGCCAGCAGCCGCGGUGAUACGGAGGUGGCAAGCGUUAUCCGGAUUUAUUGGGCGUAAAGGGAACGCAGGCGGUCUUUUAAGUCUGAUGUGAAAGCCUUCGGCUUAACCGGAGUAGUGCAUUGGAAACUGUGAGAGUGGAGUGCAGAAGAGGAGAGUGGAACUCCAGGUGUAGCGGUGAAAUGCGUAGAUAUAGGGAAGAACACCAGUGGCGAAAGCGGCUCUCUGGGCUGUAACUGACGCUGAGGUUCGAAAGCGUGGGUAGCAAACAGGAUUAGAUACCCGGGUAGUC
rnacentral:rRNA from 1 species